rnacentral:lncRNA from 1 species
GGGGCGGGGGGGGCGGGGGUGCGGCGCUGGGGAGGGGGCUGCUGGAUCGAACCCAGAACCUCAUGGUUCCUGGUCAGGUUGGUUUCUUCUGUGCCACAAUGGGAAUUCCUUCUUGGAUAUCUCUUGCCAUUGUCUACCACCACUGGUUAUUAGAAGAAUGUGAGUAGGUAGAGACAACAACCCCACACAUUGAUGUUCAGACUCAAACUGUGAGGGCCAUGAAAGGACUCAGUAGUGUGCCUUGGGGUGGCCUGGCCCUGCCAGAGGUAGUGUUCCCUAGGUGGGGACUGGCCUUGUGUCUGCUGUCAUCCAGGAGCAUUGGCUGGUCAUCAGAGUGAGGAAACUGUUUCCUCUAAGAGGAAUGGAGCCUAAAUGCCAAAGGCCACGAGGGGUCUCUGUUAAGAGAAACUCCUUCCAGGAAAGGGUUUGUGGACGAUCCUGCCUGCCCUCCUGAGCUUCUCCCUCCCUGAUACAGUGUUUUCUUUCAACACUGUUUCUUUUCCUCCUGUUUCUUGCCCACAUGCCCCGUGGUUAUAGCAGCUAACCCUGGGUGGGAGCCCACCUCAGGCCAGGCUUUCCUGUCCAUCCCUCAUCCUCAUGACAGUCCUGAGAGAUGAGAACCAUUACCACUCCCAUGAUACAGAUGAGGAAACCGAGGCCUGGAGAGGUUAGACCUCAGGCACCCAAGAUCCAACCAUGGCCCCUGCCUCUCCAGCAUGAGGAAAGGGCCACAGAUGAGCUGACAGCAAAGAAAGGGGGCAUCACUCUGACCUCCGGGGUCACAAGCCCUUGUUCCGUCCUCACACUGUGGUGACAGCACCCAUUGCUGGGCUGUGGGAGGAGGAAGGAUAAGCAAGAGUUAGGGUCAGCAGGGCGGAGUCACCACUGGGAGGGCUUAGUGUCCGAAAUCUUCCAUUCCAGGCCUGCCAGAUUGCUUAUCCUCACGUGGGGGUGGGGCAUAUGAUGUAGCAACAGGGACUGCCAGGCAGCUGUGAGCAGAGCUGGAAGGUGAGGGGUCCUUGAAAAUCAUUGAGGCUGAGGCUGACCUCUCAGGAUAUGAAGAGUCUGAAGCGCUGAGAGGGAAUGACUCAUCCUUGGGAGGGGGAUGGGUCUUUAUUCCAUCCCCCAGGGCAAGAGCCCCUACCCCCGACUGCCCCUCUGGGGAGCCUGGGGUUUACUGGUGGCUCUAUCAGCAAGACCCAGGGCCUCUACAGCCCUAGAGAUAACCCUGAGGUGGACAGCUCCCUCGGCCCCUGGCUCCCCUGCCCCAGAAGCAGCUCCAUCAGGGGUGCAUUUGCCAACUGCAUUGAUUUCCAUUUCCCAGGGUGAUGAGGUAAUUUAAAGGUUAUUCAGCUGAAUUUCUAGUUCCCUUGGCCUGAGGCCUUUCUCUAGAAACACCUGCUGCUAAUAGCCCGGGCACCAGGCAUUGAUAUAAAAAGAUGUGCUUGUUGCCCAUAAACUUGAAUUAUUUACGAAGCGUGUCCUUCUCUUAUAGCUGCUUUGCAUACAUGCCCCCUCUCAAUGGUUACUUACUGGCUGUACCCGUGAGCUUGCUUUUUUAAUUGAAUGGCAUUUCAUGAGGCUAAACCGAUCGCAGCUCCUGUGAGCAUGUUGCUCUCCCUGGGCUGCCAUUUCAGUCUCUGGCCCCCAACCUCUUAGUCUCGAACCCCGAACCUCAGCCCCAUGAGCCUCGACUCCUUUCUCUCCUUGCUGCCUCAGGCCAUACAUUGUCCAUUUUUCUACUUGACUUUCUCUGGAUUCUGUCCCUUCCUUCUGGCCAUGCUCCUAUUGCUCUAAUUCAGUUCCUCAUUAUCCGCUGACUUUUUGCCAUAUCCUUUGACCUGGCUGCCUCCCUGCUCCAGGCAGGCCCCUUUUAGAAUUGCUCCCGUGGGCUUUGGGCAGAUUAAUCUUUCAGGAGCACUGGUUCUGCUCUUGUCACUGCUCUCCUGACAUACCUUCCCUGGCCGCUUACUGCCUCCAGUAUGAGGACAGAUGCCUCAGCCGAGGCCUCAGGCUGGCCCAGCUCCCUCCCUGCAUUGCAAAGCACAGGGCUAAGGCGCCUCCCUCCUCUCCCGCUUCCCUCCUCUCCUGGGCAGUGCUCCUCUCAGCGCCCUAUGCCCCUUCCCUCCCCCACCUCCUCCAGGGCCAGCUUCAGAGCCGUCUCCUCCAAGCCGCCUUCCUGCUCUGCCUUUUCCUCCCCGGCUUGGACCCAGAGCAUACUAGUUUAGGAGUCAGAACAGUCUUGCUGUGGGUCAGGGUUGGUGCUGGGCACUCAGAAUGCCAAAGUGAGUGUUAUGAGUUACAUUGUGUCCUCCUAAAAGAUACGUUGAGUUUCUAACCCCCAGGACCUGUGAAUGUGACUUUCUUUGGAAACAGGGUCUUUGCAGAUGUAAUUAAGAUGAGGUCAGUGGAGUUCCUACCGUGGCUCAGUGGAAAUGAAUCUGACUAGGAUCCAUGAGGAUGCAGGUUUGAUCCUUGGCCUCGCUCAGUGGGUUAAGGAUCUGGCUUUGCCGUGAGCUGUGAUGUAGGUUGCAGACACGGCUCGGAUCUGGUGUUGCUGUGGCUGUGGUAUAGGCCAGCAGCUAUAGCUCCAUUUAGACCCCUAGCCUGGGAACCUCUAUAUGCUGCCAGUGUGGCCCUAAAAAGACAAAAAAAAAAAAAAAAAAA